GAAACUAACAAGGAUUCCCCUAGUAGCGGCGAGCGAAGCGGGAAGAGCUCAAAUUUAUAAUCUGGCACCUUCGGUGUCCGAGUUGUAAUCUCUAGAAGUGUUUUCCGCGUUGGACCGCACACAAGUCUGUUGGAAUACAGCGGCAUAGUGGUGAAACCCCCGUAUAUGGUGCGGACGCCCAGCGCUUUGUGAUACACUUUCAAUGAGUCGAGUUGUUUGGGAAUGCAGCUCAAAUUGGGUGGUAAAUUCCAUCUAAAGCUAAAUAUUGGCGAGAGACCGAUAGCGAACAAGUACCGUGAGGGAAAGAUGAAAAGCACUUUGGAAAGAGAGUUAACAGUACGUGAAAUUGUUGGAAGGGAAACGCUUGAAGUCAGACUUGCUUGCCGGAGCUUGCUUCGGUUUGCAGGCCAGCAUCAGUUUUCCGGGGUGGAUAAUGACGGUUUGAAGGUAGCAGUCUCGGCUGUGUUAUAGCUUUCCGUUGGAUACAUCCUGGGGGACUGAGGAACGCAGCGUGCUUUUUGCGAAAGACUCGUCUUUUUCACGCUUAGG
rnacentral:rRNA from 1 species